AUUGAACGCUGGCGGCAGGCCUAACACAUGCAAGUCGAACGAGUGGCGGACGGGUGAGUAAUGUCUGGGCAACUGCCCGAUGGAGGGGGAUAACUACUGGAAACGGUAGCUAAUACCGCAUACCAUCGGAUGUGCCCAGAUGGGAUUAGCUUGUAGGUGAGGUAACGGCUCACCUAGGCGACGAUCCCUAGCUGGUCUGAGAGGAUGACCAGCCACACUGGAACUGUGACAUGGUCCCAACUCCUCCGUGAGGCAGCAGGGGGGAAUAUUGCACAAUGGGCGCAAGCCUGAUGCCGCCAUGCCGCGUGUAUGAAGAAGGCCUUCGGGUUGUAAGGGACGUUAAGCGGGGAGGCGUGACCCGCAGAAGAAGCACCGGCUAACUCCGUGCCAGCAGCCGCGGUAAUUC
rnacentral:rRNA from 1 species